UGAGCAAUCUGCCCUUCUCAUCGGAAUAAGCGUUGGAAACGACGUCUAAUGCCGAAUACGACCUCCUUUCGCAUGAUCGGAGGUGGAAAGCUCCGGCGGAGAAGGAUGAGCUCGCGGCCUAUCAGCUAGUUGGUGUGGGUAACGGCCCACCAAGGCGACGACGGGUAGCCGGCCUGAGAGGGUGACCGGCCACACUGGGACUGAGACACGGCCCAGACUCCGUACGGGAGG
rnacentral:rRNA from 1 species